GCUAGCUCCGGCCGGGAGGAGCCGCAGCCGGAGGAGGGGGAGGAGGAAGAGGAGAAGGAAGAGGAGGAGGAGGAGAGGGGGCCGCGGCGGCUCGGCGCUCGGAAGCCGGGCUCAUGGACGGGUGAGGCGGUCGUGUGCGAAGACAGUGCCCCAGCCGCGCGUGCUCCCCAGGCCGGUGCCAGGGCCUUGGCUCCAGGAGGAAGAGGAGCCCGCCGAGGCGCCGAGGAGAGCGGGCCGCCCCGCAGCCCGAUCAGGAGAGGGAGCGCGAGCCGCGCCGGCCCCGGUCGGGCCUCCGAAACCAUGAACUUUCUGCUC
rnacentral:other from 1 species